ACUGCUAUCGGAUUGAUACUAAGCCAUGCGAGUCUUUGUAGCAAUACAAGGCAGACGGCUCAGUAACACGUAGUCAAUCUACCCUAUGGACGGGGAUAACCUCGGGAAACUGAGAAUAAUACCCGAUAGAUCAUUAUGCCUGGAAUGGUUUAUGGUCGAAAUGAUUUAUCGCCGUAGGAUGGGACUGCGGUCUAUCAGCUUGUUGGUGAGGUAAUGGCCCACCAAGGCUAUAACAGAUACGGGCUCUGAGAGGAGAAGCCCGGAGAUGGGUACUGAGACACGGACCCAGGCCCUAUGGGGCGCAGCAGGCGAGAAAACUUUGCAAUGUGCGAAAGCACGACAAGGUUAAUCCGAGUGUUUUCUGCUAAAGAAAUCUUUUGUCAGUCCUAAAAACACUGAUGAAUAAGGGGUGGGCAAGUUCUGGUGUCAGCCGCCGCGGUAAAACCAGCACCUCAAGUGGUCAGGAGGAUUACUGGGCCUAAAGCAUCCGUAGCCGGCCGUGUAAGUUUUCGGUUAAAUCUAUACGCUCAACGUAUAGGCUGCCGGGAAUACUGCACAGCUAGGGAGUGGGAGAGGUAGACGGUACUCGGUAGGAAGGGGUAAAAUCCUUUGAUCUAUUGAUGACCACCUGUGGCGAAGGCGGUCUACUAGAACACGUCCGACGGUGAGGGAUGAAAGCUGGGGGAGCAAACCGGAUUAGAUACCCGGGUAGUCCCAGCUGUAAACAAUGCAAACUCAGUGAUGCACUGGCUUGUGGCCAGUGCAGUGCCGCAGGGAAGCCGUUAAGUUUGCCGCCUGGGAAGUACGUACGCAAGUAUGAAACUUAAAGGAAUUGGCGGGGGAGCACCACAAGGGGUGAAG
rnacentral:rRNA from 1 species